GCCCGGUUAGCUCAAUCGGUAGAGCGUGAGACUCUUAUUAUAGUAUAUCUCAAGGCUGCGGGUUCGACCCCCGCAUUGGGCU
rnacentral:tRNA from 1 species